UUGUGCCUCCUGGUUGCCGAGUAUUCACCUGGACCUUCUAACCACCUUCCUUGAGCUAUUCCAUCAGCCUUCAUAUCUGGUACCUGGAAUUUUGCCCAUGGUGAUUCCUGCCACCUUACUACUGAAGAAGACAACCAUGCCAGUGAACCACUGUGACUCGAGGCAUCCAGCAAAUUUGAAUCAUCAUCAUGUGGCCUUCACCUCCACUCCUGUCCUGUUCUACCCAGAUUCAACACAGCCCUUUG
rnacentral:lncRNA from 1 species